rnacentral:rRNA from 1 species
UACGAAGGGGGCUAGCGUUGUUCGGAUUUACUGGGCGUAAAGCGUGUGUAGGCGGCUAGGUAAGUCGGAUGUGAAAGCCCCGGGCUCAACUCGGGAAGUGCACUCGAUACUGCUUAGCUCGAGUACCCGGAGAGGUUGGUGGAAUUCUCGGUGUAGAGGUGAAAUUCGUAGAUAUCGAGAGGAACACCGGUGGCGAAGGCGGCCAACUGGACGAGUACUGACGCUGAGACACGAAAGCGUGGGGAGCAAACAGG